rnacentral:misc_RNA from 1 species
GAUGAAGAACGUAGUGAAAUGCGAUACUUGGUGUGAAUUGCAGAAUCCCGUGAACCAUCGAGUCUUUGAACGCAAGUUGCGCCCGAAGCCAUUAGGCCGAGGGCACGCCUGCCUGGGCGUCACACGUCGUUGCCCCCCCAUCUACUCCUUCGGGAUUGCGGGGGGCGGAUGAUGGCCUCUCGUGCGCCUCGUCGCGCGGUUGGUCUAAAUGCCAAGUCCUCGGCGACGCACGCCACGACAAUCGGUGGUUGCGAAACCUCGGUUGCCUGUCGUGUGCGGUCGUCGCGCAUCGAGGGCUCGAAAAAAUUGCCGGGCUUCGGCUCGACUUUCAACGCGACCCCAGGUCAGGCGGGGUUACCCGCUGAAUUUAAGCAUAUCAAUAAGCGGAGGA